GCCAGUAGUCAUAUGCUUGUCUUAAAGAUUAAGCCAUGCAUGUCUAAGUAUAAAUAGUAUACAGUGAAACUGCGAAUGGCUCAUUAAAACAGUUAUAGUUUAUUUGAUAAUUGAAUUCUACAUGGAUAACCGUAGUAAUUCUAGAGCUAAUACAUGCUGUAAAACCUGACUUUUCGGAAAGGUUGUAUUUAUUAGAUAUCAAACCAAUAAUCUUUCGGGAUUAUUGUGAUGAUUCAUAAUAACUGAUCGGAUCAAGGUGUACCUUGAUAGAUCAUUCAAGUUUCUGCCCUAUCAGCUUUCGAUGGUAGUGUAUUGGACUACCAUGGCAGUCACGGGUAACGGAGAAUUAGGGUUCGAUUCCGGAGAGGGAGCCUGAGAAACGGCUACCACAUCUACGGAAGGCAGCAGGC
rnacentral:rRNA from 1 species